AUUGAACGCUGGCGGCAGGCCUAACACAUGCAAGUCGAGCGAGCGGCGGACGGGUGAGUAAUGUAUGGGGACUGCCCGAUAGAGGGGGAUAACUACUGGAAACGGUAGCUAAUACCGCAUAUUAUCGGAUAACCCAUAUGGGAUUGGCUUGUAGGUGAGGUAAUGGCGCACCUAGGCGCCGAUCCCUAGCUGGUCGGAGGGGAUGAUCAGCCACCCUGGGACUGAGACACGGCCCGGACUCCUACGGGGGCAGCAGUGGGGAAUAUUGCGCAAGGGGCGCAAUCCGGAUGCAGACAUGCCGCGUGUAUGAAGAAGGCCCUAGGGUUGUAAAGUACUUUCAGUCGGGAGGCGUUACCGACAGAGGAAGCACCGGCUAACUCCGUGCCAGCAGCCGCGGUAAUUC
rnacentral:rRNA from 1 species